UAUACUCAAAGCACAUCACACCCACAUUUCAAUUUUCUCCCCACCCACACUCCCGUCAAUCAUCUGCAGUCAAUUGCAUGCGCAACGAAUUACUGCCCUGCAAGGAAUGUUCAGAUUCAUGGUGACCUAUAGUUUUCUCUCUUCCAUUUGCUUUUCACAUGAUGAUACAGGACACCCGGCUUUUCACAAGCCUCCUCUUUCCUCUGCCAUUUGUGUUUUUCUUCUCUGCAUCACUGGGUUCUGGAAAACGUCUUGACCAUUUGGCUCCGUUCACACGUUGCCUCUCUUUCUGGCACCUACGCCUGUGAGAGGAAAUUUCUUGAGAUGAGCGAGAAGUCGGCCAGAGAGCAGCCGGGUCAAGAAUGAGGUUGUGUAAUCGCCAAAAGCACACAGAAGACCUGUCAUCACAUCGAGGAGAGCAGCAGGGCUGCACGGCGUUCGAGGGGGAGGAUGUUUGACGAAGGCUUUGAGUCACACAACGCUCCACCCCUCAACAUGAAGUCGAUCUCCUGAGUCUUGUGAUGGCAUGACAGCCUGUAGAGGCUUCACAAAGGACGAGAAGUGACCGUUUUCAAGAAGGGAGACCAUUUUAUAUUUGGUCCCGUCUCUGUAGAUCCGGACAUUGUACUUCCAAAGUGGGACACAAAUAGAAAAGUAACAGAAAAUGAUCUAUUGUUGUCUUUCACACAUGAAAACUGAAAUGUUUUGACUCUGCUGAACCCAAACUAAAGAAUUCUAGUCGCCACAGAGUCCCCUGACAUUCAAUAUGUGAUUAAACAUUUCUUAACAGGGUAACAAAUCUUUUAAGAUCUAGUUGUGAAAGCCCCUGAAGGCCAUGUUGAGAUUUCAUCACAGACACAACCAGCAAGUCACCAAAAUGCCACAGAAAUAGUCUGGAUGCUUAAACAGAUGUGUACAGAUUAGAACAGUGUUGUUGCUUAUACGUUGUGACUGAUAGUUUGCUACUGAUUAACUGAGAGCACAUGCAACUUCAUGUUCACCACGUUGUACAGUAAUUCAUCAAGAGACGUCGGCCCAGCCAUUUUGACAUUCAUGGUCAUUCAACCGUUUCUUAUGUUGGGAAAGUGAACUUUUGGACCCCACUUUAUUAAAUAGCUCUUCCUG